CUCCUGGAAACGGGUGGUAAUGCCGGAUGUUCCACAUGAGCGCAUGCGAGUGUGGGAAAGGCUUUUUGCGGCAUGGGAUGGGGUCGCGUCCUAUCAGCUUGUUGGUGGGGUAACGGCCUACCAAGGCGUUGACGGGUAGCCGGCCUGAGAGGGCGACCGGCCACAUUGGGACUGAGAUACGGCCCAGACUCCUACGGGAGGCAGCAGUGGGGAAUAUUGCACAAUGGGCGCAAGCCUGAUGCAGCGACGCCGCGUGCGGGAUGGAGGCCUUCGGGUUGUAAACCGCUUUUGUUCAAGGGCAAGGCACGGUUUCGGCCGUGUUGAGUGGAUUGUUCGAAUAAGCACCGGCUAACUACGUGCCAGCAGCCGCGGUAAUACGUAGGGUGCAAGCGUUAUCCGGAUUUAUUGGGCGUAAAGGGCUCGUAGGCGGUUCGUCGCGUCCGGUGUGAAAGUCCAUUGCUUAACGGUGGAUCCGCGCCGGGUACGGGCGGGCUUGAGUGCGGUAGGGGAGACUGGAAUUCCCGGUGUAACGGUGGAAUGUGUAGAUAUCGGGAAGAACACC
rnacentral:rRNA from 1 species